CCUACGGGUGGCAGCAGUGAGGAAUAUUGGUCAAUGGGCGAGAGCCUGAACCAGCCAAGUCGCGUGAGGGAGUACUGCCCUAUGGGUUGUAAACCUCUUUUGUCGGGGAGCAAAAGCCGGACGUGUCCGGCUGUGAGAGUACCCGAAGAAAAAGCAUCGGCUAACUCCGUGCCCGCAGCCGCGGUAAUACGGGGGAUGCGAGCGUUAUCCGGAUUUAUUGGGGUAAAAGGGUGCGUAGGCGGAUUUUUAAGUCAACGGUCAAAUCGUGGGGCUCAACCCCAUCCAGCCGUUGAAACUGGGGAUCUAGAGUGUGCGAGAGGUAUGCGGAAUUCGUGGUGUAGCGGUGAAAUGCAUAGAUAUCACGCAGAACCCCGAUUGCGAAGGCAGCAUACCGGUGCACAACUGACGCUCAGGCACGAAAGCGUGGGUAGCGAACAGGAUUAGAUACCCGAGUAGUC
rnacentral:rRNA from 1 species